rnacentral:lncRNA from 1 species
CUCAGAUGCAAGGUGAUAAGUAGCCACACAUCUCUGGUCCCACAAGUUCAAGUUACAACAAACUGUUUCUUCUUUCUCUCUUUUAACCCAAGUUUCAACCAAGAAGGACCCUGCUUCCUGGUAACACAGCACACCACAAGGUGAAACAGAAACUGGCAACUGCAAGAUGGUUUCUGGUGGCCCAGAGGGGUCUGGGAAAAAGCAAAGGGUGACUCAAGAGCCACAAGGAUUUAGGAGUUGUUUUGCAGAAGAAAAAGAAUGCCUUCAAGGAAGUUAUGACCACCAGAUAACCAGUCCUUGGCUGCUGCUAAUGCCUAGAAGUCUGAUUGCCCAAGGGUUCAUCUGGAGUGAAAGAAACACACAUUUCCCCUUUGUUUCUCAGAAACUCCUCCUCCCAAGCCCCUUAACUCUAUAAAAUGCCCUGCUUUCUACUUUUGUUAAGACAGAUUUGAGAGAACCUAUCCUCCUGUCUUCUCGUUUUGGCCAAUUUGAAUAAACCUUUCGC